rnacentral:misc_RNA from 1 species
GUUUUGGGUUAUGGAGGGGUUUAAUGCGGGAGAGAAGGGUUUUAGACAUAUGAAUUAGAAAAUGGUUAACUUGGUGUCAUCUCCUGGAUGAAAGCUCAGUCCAGGAGAAACAGAUGAAACAAGAUUGAUUCAUUGCAAGAUUGAUUCAUUGCGGCUUUCGGAAACUUCACUGUCUCUCAAAACCUGAGUGUCACAAAACCCCAGAGAGCUUCAA